UUGCCUCAGUAACGGCGAGUGAAGCGGCAAUAGCUCAAAUUUGAAAUCUGGCCCUUUCAGGGUCCGAGUUGUAAUUUGCAGAGGGCGCUUUGGAGUCGGCAGCAGCCUAAGUUCCUUGGAACAGGUCAUCAUAGAGGGUGAGAAUCCCGUAUGUGGCUGCUUGCCUUCGCCGUGUAAAGCCCCUUCGAUGAGUCGAGUUGUUUGGGAAUGCAGCUCUAAAUGGGAGGUAAAUUUCUUCUAAAGCUAAAUAUUGGCCAGAGACCGAUAGCGCACAAGUAGAGUGAUCGAAAGAUGAAAAGCACUUUGGAAAGAGAGUCAAAAAGCACGUGAAAUUGUUGAAAGGGAAGCGCUUGCAGCCAGACGUGCCCGUAGUUGCUCAUCUGGGGUUCUCCCCAGUGCACUCUUCUAUGGGCAGGCCAGCAUCAGUCCGGGCGGUUGGAGAAAGACCUGUGUCACGUAGCUCUCUUCGGGGAGUGUUAUAGGGCAGGUGGAAUGCAACCAGCCUGGACUGAGGUCCGCGCAUCUGCUAGGAUGCUGGCGUAAUGGCUGUAAGCGGCCCGUCUUGAAACACGGACCAAGGAGUCUAACAUCUAUGCGAGUGUUUGGGUGUCAAGCCCGAGCGCGUAAUGAAAGUGAACGGAGGUGGGAACCCCUCGGGGUGCACCAUCGACCGAUCCUGAUGUCUUCGGAUGGAUUUGAGUAAGAGCAUAGCUGUUGGGACCCGAAAGAUGGUGAACUAUGCCUGAAUAGGGUGAAGCCAGAGGAAACUCUGGUGGAGGCUCGCAGCGGUUCUGACGUGCAAAUCGAUCGUCAAAUUUGGGCAUAGGGGCGAAAGACUAAUCGAACUAU
rnacentral:rRNA from 1 species